GACGGAAGGUGCAAGCGUUGCUCGGAAUCACUGGGCGUAAAGGGUGCGUAGGCGGCUUGGUAAGUUGGGUGUGAAAGCCCCGGGCUCAGCCCGGGAAGGGCACUCGAAACUGCCGAGCUGGAGUGCCGGAGGGGAGAGUGGAAUUCCUGGUGUAGCGGUGAAAUGCGUAGAUAUCAGGAGGAAUACCGGUGGUGUAGACGGCUCUCUGGACCGCAACUGACGCUGAAACACGAAAGCGUGGGUAGCAAACAGG
rnacentral:rRNA from 1 species